GACGAACGCUGGCGGCGCGCUUAAUACAUGCAAGUCGAACGAGAAGCCAGAGCUUGCUCUGGUGGAAAGUGGCGAACGGUGAGUAACACGUGAGAAACCUGCCCCAAAGAUUGGGAUAAGCCUUGGAAACGAGGUCUAAUACCAAAUACCUUCCUUUUAACACAUGUUAAAAAGAAGAAAUGCUCCGGCGCUUUGGGAUGGUCUCGCGAUCUAUCAGCUUGUUGGUGAGGUAACGGCUCACCAAGGCAUCGACGGAUAGCUGGUCUGAGAGGAUGUCCAGCCACAUUGGAACUGAGACACGGUCCAAACUCCUACGGGAGGCAGCAGUAGGGAAUCUUGCACAAUGAGGGAAACCUUGAUGCAGCGACGCCGCGUGCGGGACGAAGGCCCUAGGGUUGUAAACCGCUUUCAGUAGGGACGAAAGUGACGGUACCUACAGAAGAAGCCCCGGCCAACUAUGUGCCAGCAGCCGCGGUAAU
rnacentral:rRNA from 1 species